rnacentral:rRNA from 1 species
GUGGGGAAUAUUGGACAAUGGGCGCAAGCCUGAUCCAGCAAUGCCGCGUGUGUGAAGAAGGUCUUCGGAUCGUAAAGCACUUUCGACGGGGACGAUGAUGACGGUACCCGUAGAAGAAGCCCCGGCUAACUUCGUGCCAGCAGCCGCGGUAAUACGAAGGGGGCUAGCGUUGCUCGGAAUUACUGGGCGUAAAGGGCGCGUAGGCGGCUCUGUGAGUCAGGCGUGAAAUUCCUGGGCUUAACCUGGGGACUGCGCUUGAUACUGCAGGGCUGGGGGCCGAGAGAGGGUAGUGGAAUUCCCAGUGUAGAGGUGAAAUUCGUAGAUAUUAGGAAGAACACCGGUGGCGAUGGCGACCACCUGGCUCGGUACUGACGCUGAGGCGCGACAGCGUGGGGAGCAAACAGGAUUAGAAACCCUGGUAGUCC